GACGAAGGGGGGCUAGCGUUGUUCGGAAUUACUGGGCGUAAAGCGCGUGUAGGCGGUUGUUCAAGUCAGGUGUGAAAGCCUUGAGCUCAACUCAAGAAAUGCACUUGAUACUGGAUGACUAGAGGACCGGAGAGGAUAGUGGAAUUCCCAGUGUAGUGGUGAAAUACGUAGAGAUUGGGAAGAACACCAGUGGCGAAGCGGCUAUCUGGACGGUUUCUGACGCUAAGACGCGAAAGCGUGGGGAGCAAACAGG
rnacentral:rRNA from 1 species